UCGUGCUAGACGGGGAGCUAGCGGUGCCCUAUACCCGCAAUCCGCUAUAGCGGGGUCGAAUUCCUGCCCGCGGUCUGGUCGUUUGAGUAGUACUCCGGUAAGUGGUGUUGAUAGUCGGGCCCUGCGCAAUGUCCGGCGAGUGAACCCCGUCAGGUCCGGAAGGAAGCAGCGGUAAGCUCGUUCGCGCAUGUGCCGCAAGGUGAUCCGGCUGGAGCUGGCUGCCGGGGCCAACGCUCGGGCGGCCUUAUCAAAGGCAGGUGCACGA
rnacentral:SRP_RNA from 1 species